CGUUGAAACACCAGUUCUCGUACGAUCACCGAAGUUAAGCAACUUCCAGCCUGGUUAGUAUCUAGAUGAGUGACCGCUUGGGAAUCCGAGGUAUCGUAAU